UAACAACAUUAACAAGAUUGUAUACAACACAAUAACUUCACUUCAAUGCGUAUGCAUGCGAUUUUUUUUAUGUGAUAUGACAUAUGAACUGGUUGACUACAAAAUAAACACAUUAAAGUAGAUUUCUGAUUUGAUUUCGAGAUAUAAUAAAAUAAAAUCACGUACCAUCGAUAUCGACAACAACAAAUCUGACGGUACACAAAUUACACUCCAAUAUUUUCGACUGCAAAAAAUAUAUAUAUUAUCGUCCUUUUUUGUAUUAAAAAGAAAAAGACACGAGGACUGUAUGUCGUUAAAUUAAAUCGGUCUUAUCUUUUGUGGAUAACAACACUAACUGAUUUGCUGACCUUCAACGAUUUAUAAAUGUGGUUGUGGCAAAUACUCAAACUGUAGCUUGGGCACCUAUUGCGUACUAUAUUCUGGUAUUGUAUGUAACAAACGAAAAAAAACCAACAACUUUAUUUUUGAGAAAGCGUUGUUUUAACGAAUACCGAUGAAUGAAUCAAUGCGCUUGUCGUAUGGAACAUAAAUGUGCAUUUCCAUGGUGUAGCAUGGCUUUCCAUUUCGAGCGCUAACAGCAUUUGUACGAAAUGAGGCAAAAAUGAAGCUUUUCAAAUGAACAUAAUUUCACUCGUUUAUAAGGUGUUCAAACGAAGUAACACAUAAAAGCGAUGGCCGAUGGAAUUCACUUUGCAGUUUCAGUACCGCGAAUGACGUAAACUCAGUUACAAGCCUCCAACUAUUAAGCUGUCAUAAUAACAUUUAAAAAGGACAAUAUCAAAACGAAAAAAUCUUCAUGCGUCAUAUGACCAUUCUUCAAUCACGUUCAUUCGUAACCAAACCUAGAACACAUAACAUUUGACGUAAAAAUGCACAAUGAAAAUGAAAACCAAUUCGUAGUACCCAAAUCGAUCAAAAGCAGUACCUCAACAGAUACUUCGUGGUUCAUCGUCAAUAAUUUGAAUUGUAAAAUUCAUUUUUAUUUACAAUGCUAAGUGAUCACUUCAUUGAUUUGAUUAUUUUUUUUUAUUUUUCUAAUUGUUGUAUUUACUUACUUUUUCUAUUUUUUGGAAAUACUGUCGUAAAAAUGAGAUUGGAUUUUCUGGACGCGUCACACAUAACUGUACGAUGCAAUCUUUUAGUACACGUUGAAUAUUAUGUGAUUGAAUGUAAUUUUCGCAUUCUCGUAAACUUUGUUCUUCUUCAAACGUCGACGCCAUAUUCAUAAUGUUUUAUAAAUAAAAUUAUUCUGUGGUUUUUAAAGCAA